AAAAAUAGAUUUAAAAUUUUGAUAUUAUUUCAAAAUUUUGAUAUAAAUUUUUAAUAUUUAAUUUUUAAUUUGAAUUUAAAUUAAUAUAUUAUAUAGAUAAUGUUAAUAUAUUAAUUUGAUUACGUUUUUUAUAUAUAUCCACCUGAACCAAACACCGACAAUGGGAAUGAUUUAUUUCGAUUCCGAUUCAGGUGAUAAACCAAACAGAAUAUGGUAAUGAGUCAUUCCGAUUUCGAUUUCAGCUUAUUUUGAUUCUGAUUCCGAUUCCAACUCCAACUUCGAAUCAAACACGCCCUAAUAAUAGUACUAAAAAAAUUUCAGCUCCGAGAUUAUUAAUUUUCAUCAGAUAAACAAUAAUUAAUGGAAAUGUAAUUUUCAUCUG
rnacentral:lncRNA from 1 species